rnacentral:rRNA from 1 species
CCUACGGGAGACAGCAGUGAGGAAUAUUGGUCAAUGGACGAGAGUCUGAACCAGCCAAGUAGCGUGAAGGAUGACUGCCCUAUGGGUUGUAAACUUCUUUUAUAUGGGAAUAAAAUGUUCCACGUGUGGGAUUUUGUAUGUACCAUAUGAAUAAGGAUCGGCUAACUCCGUGCCAGCAGCCGCGGUAAUACGGAGGAUCCGAGCGUUAUCCGGAUUUAUUGGGUUUAAAGGGAGCGUAGGUGGAUUGUUAAGUCAGUUGUGAAAGUUUGCGGCUCAACCGUAAAAGUGCAGUUGAAACUGGCAGUCUUGAGUACAGUAGAGGUGGGCGGAAUUCGUGGUGUAGCGGUGAAAUGCUUAGAUAUCACGAAGAACUCCGAUUGCGAAGGCAGUUCACUGGACUGCAACUGACACUGAGGCUCGAAAGUGUGGGUAUCAAACAGGAUUAGAUACCCCGGUAGUC